rnacentral:rRNA from 1 species
GAUAGGUUCCUUUAAUUACCGAUUAGUUCCUACCGCGGUGCUCUUCAUUGAGUGUCGAGGUCGGCCGACAAGUUUACUUUGAACAAAUUAGAGUGCUUAAAGCAGGCAAAAGUCUGCCUUGAAUAGUGGUGCAUGGAAUAAUAGAAUAGGACCUUGGUUCUAUUUUGCUGGUUUUCUGAAUCCAAGGUAAUGAUCAAUAUGGACAGGCGGGGGCAUUCGUAUUGCGACGUUAGAGGUGAAAUUCUUGGAUCGUCGCAAGACGAACUAGAGCGAAAGCAUUUGCCAAGUAUGUCUUAAUUGAUCAAGAACGAAAGUUAGAGGUUCGAAGGCGAUCAGAUACCGCCCUAGUUCUAACCAUAAACGAUGCCAGCUAGCGAUCCGCCGAUGUUUUUCUCAUGACUCGACGGGCAGCUCCCCGGGAAACCAAAGCUUUUGGGUUCCGGGGGAAGUAUGGUUGCAAAGCUGAAACUUAAAGGAAUUGACGGAAGGGCACCACCAGGAGUGGAGCUUGCGGUUUAAUUUGACUCAACACGGGAAACUUUAUCAGGCCCAGACAUUGGAAGGAUUGACAGAUUGAUAGCUCUUUCUUGAUUCAAUGGGUAGUGGUGCAUGGCCGUCCUUAGUUGGUGGAACGAUUUGUCUGGUUAAUUCCGAUAACGAACGAGACUCUAGCAUACUAACUAGACGCUUGGUAUUUUUGCUACCAGCGGUUUCAUUCUUCUUAGAGGGACAGGCGGCUUUUAGCCGCACGAGAUUGAGCAAUAACAGGUCAGGGAUGCCCUGAGAUGUUCUGGGCCGCACGCGUGCUACACUGAAGGAAUCAGCGUGUGUCUCCCUAUCCGAAAGGACCGGGUAACCCGCUGAACCUCCUUCGUGCUAGGAAUUGGGGCUUGCAAUUAUUCCCCAUAAACGAGGAAUUCCCAGUAAACGUGAGUCAUAAGCUCGCGU